rnacentral:rRNA from 1 species
GACAGAGGUGGCAAGCGUUGUUCGGAUUCAUUGGGUGUAAAGGGUCCGUAGGUGGUCUAGCAAGUCUGAUGUGAAAUCCCAUGGCUCAACCGUGGAACUGCAUUGGAAACUGCUGGACUUGAGUACCGCAGAGGUAAAGGGAAUUCCCGGUGUAAGGGUGAAAUCUGUAGAUAUCGGGAGGAACACCAGUGGCGAAGGCGACUUCCUGGCCCGUUCUUGACGCUGAGGCGCGAAAGCUAGGGGAGCAAACGGG